GACGAAUCUAUUGGCUGCCAAGCCUGCCGCUUACCGGCGGCGGGGGAGGGCACCGAAAAGAGGAAUCG
rfam:Ramlibacter tataouinensis TTB310, complete genome.